rnacentral:lncRNA from 1 species
AGUAGUAAAACAACAGAAUUGGAGUUGGCUAAAAUUAUGGACUGCUUCAUCCUUUUUUUUCUUCUGGUGUCUCUUCUGCAGUUUCCAACGAAGACAACAUCUCGACAAUCUCAUCUGUGAUUUUAAUAGUCAUUUGCUGCUCGCUCUCAGUUACACGAUGAACUAGAAGCCCAGACAUAAAUACAAGAAGAUAACAGAACAUUCUCCUAGCAUCUUCGGUUAUUCGCCUUAUUUAAUGGACCUCGUUCUAUGGAGUUUAGUUCAGACUCGGUGAUUUCCUUCUCCUUAUUCGACUUGCAUUAUUCUGGUUUAACUAUUUGCAAUCCUCUACUGUUACUCACAUUUUGCUCCUUUCUAUGAAAAUCAAGUUCAAGUAUCCCCUCUCUAGUAGUUUUACGAAGAUUAGUAAUGCAGGGAUUGUACCACAGAGAUUAGUCAUGCUCGGGAUUGCAACACAGGGAUUAGUUAUGCAGGUUCUUGUUGAAUGUCUAGUUUGACAUAGUACAAUUAGUAUACAAUAUACACUUUAAAAUAUGUGUGUACUUAUUAAACAAGAAUGAGGGUUAAUAUUUUUUCCCCACAGGACGAUGAGAGUUAGUAUUAUCAUUUCAGUGUUUCUAAUCCAUAAAUUAUCUCAUAACAACACAAUUGUCAGGACAACAG